rnacentral:rRNA from 1 species
UACGUAGGGGGCUAGCGUUAUCCGGAUUUACUGGGCGUAAAGGGUGCGUAGGCGGUCUUUCAAGUCAGGAGUGAAAGGCUACGGCUCAACCGUAGUAAGCUCUUGAAACUGUAAGACUUGAGUGCAGGAGAGGAGAGUGGAAUUCCCGGUGUAGCGGUGAAAUGCGCAGAUAUCAGGAGGAACACCAGUGGCGAAGGCGGCUUCCUGGACCAUUCCUGACACUCAGACGCGAAAGCUAGGGUAGCAAACGGGAUUAGAUACCCCGGUAGUCCCUGA